ensembl:rRNA 5S_rRNA 5S ribosomal RNA
GCCAGCAGCCAUAUCACCCUGCGACUCACAACUGGCAACCCACUGAAGCUCAGCAGGUGUGAGCCUGGUCAGUACCUGGAUGGGAGACCUCCUGGGAAAAACUAAGGUUGCUGCUGGAA